AUACGGAUUACCUGGGGAUCUUGUUAAAAUGCAGAUUCUGAAUUGCUAGGCCUGGGAUGAGGUCGGAGAUUCUGCAUUUCUAAUAAAAUCUCUGGUGGUGCUGAU
rnacentral:pre_miRNA from 1 species